rfam:Triticum aestivum genome assembly, contig: Triticum_aestivum_CS42_TGACv1_scaffold_294149_4AL
CAUAUACUCCCUCCGUCCGGAAAUACUUGUCAUCGAAAUGAAUAAAAGGAGAUGUAUCUAGACAUAUUUUAGUUCUAGAUACAUCCCUUUUUGUCCAUUUUGAUGACAAGUAUUUUCGGACGGAGGGAGUACUAC